AAGACGUUACCCACUAGACCGUUUGCGACUAGAGACGUUACCCACUAGACCGUUUGCGACUAGAGACGUUACCCACUAGACCCUUUGUGACUAGAGACGUUACCCACUAGACCCUUUGUGACUAGAGACGUUACCCACUAGACCGUUUGUGACUAGAGACGUUACCGACUAGACCGCUUGUGACAAAAGACGUUACGGACUAGACAGUUUGUGACUAGAGACGUUACCCACUAGACCGUUUGUGACUAGAGACGUUACCCACUAGACCGUUUGUGACUAGAGACGUUACCCACUAGACCGUUUGUGACUACAGACGUUACAGACUAGAUCAUUUGUGACAAAAGACGUUACCCACUAGACCGUUUGUGACUAGAGACGUUACCCACUAGACCCUUUGUGACUAGAGACGUUACCCACUAGACCGUUUGCGACAAAAGACGUUACCCACUAGACCCUUUGCGACUAAAGACGUUACCCACUAGACCCUUUGCGACUAAAGACGUUACCCACUAGACCGUUUGCGACUAGAGACGUUACCCACUAGACCGUUUGCGACUAGAGACGUUACCCACUAGACCCUUUGUGACUAGAGACGUUACCCACUAGACCCUUUGUGACUAGAGACGUUACCCACUAGACCGUUUGUGACUAGAGACGUUACCGACUAGACCGCUUGUGACAAAAGACGUUACGGACUAGACAGUUUGUGACUAGAGACGUUACCCACUAGACCGUUUGUGACUAGAGACGUUACUCACUAGACCGUUUGUGACUAGAGACGUUACCCACUAGACCGUUUGUGACAAGAGACGUUACCCACUAGACCCUUUGUGACUAGAGACGUUACUGACUAGACCCUUUGUGACUAGAGACGCUACCCACUAGACCAUUUGAGACUAGAGACGUUACCCACAAAACCCUUGUGACUAGAGAUGCUACCCACUAGACUGUUUGUGACUAGAGACUUUACUGACUAGAGAGGUAUAGGACAAGAUACAUUAGUUGAGUCUGUUUUUAAAUAAUUUUUUCCCGUUUGUUUAAUCAGUGAUGUUAACCAAACACUUACCCCAUCACAAAUCCAUUAAUGUAGUCAGUCCCCUCCAUGUAACCGAAGUAGAAGUUCCUGGCAGACAGACAGACAGAGAGACAGUUUCAGGUCUUUGUCUUUCAGUUUUUCAGAUAAAUAUUUUGGAUCUUUUUUCCCUCUGACCUGCCGUAGAUCUCUUUGUAGUCUGCAGCCACUUUCUCCACAAGACCUUUAUACCUGAACAGGUAACAGGAAACACAUCACAGCGCCAACAACACCAGUUUAUCUGCAGGAGAGAGGCGGAGUUACUUCACAUGAACCAAUCAGUAGCCUCAGAGCUGUGACUGCAGUUCCUCUAACGUCCACUAGAUGCUGCUGUGCUCCAACUCAGACUGUCCAGAUGUGAAUAAGAGAACCUCCAAAACGUCAACAAACAUGUUCAGCUUUAUGUCUCUUUAAUAAACAGACAGACAGAUGU